rnacentral:rRNA from 1 species
AUGAUCCGGUGCUUGCACCGGGGAUUAGUGGCGAACGGGUGAGUAACACGUGAGUAACCUGCCCUUAACUCUGGGAUAAGCCUGGGAAACUGGGUCUAAUACCGGAUAUGACUCCUCAUCGCAUGGUGGGGGGUGGAAAGCUUUAUUGUGGUUUUGGAUGGACUCGCGGCCUAUCAGCUUGUUGGUGAGGUAAUGGCUUACCAAGGCGACGACGGGUAGCCGGCCUGAGAGGGUGACCGGCCACACUGGGACUGAGACACGGCCCAGACUCCUACGGGAGGCAGCAGUGGGGAAUAUUGCACAAUGGGCGCAAGCCUGAUGCAGCGACGCCGCGUGAGGGAUGACGGCCUUCGGGUUGUAAACCUCUUUCAGUAGGGAAGAAGCGAAAGUGACGGUACCUGCAGAAGAAGCGCCGGCUAACUACGUGCCAGCAGCCGCGGUAAUACGUAGGGCGCAAGCGUUAUCCGGAAUUAUUGGGCGUAAAGAGCUCGUAGGCGGUUUGUCGCGUCUGCCGUGAAAGUCCGGGGCUCAACUCCGGAUCUGCGGUGGGUACGGGCAGACUAGAGUGAUGUAGGGGAGACUGGAAUUCCUGGUGUAGCGGUGAAAUGCGCAGAUAUCAGGAGGAACACCGAUGGCGAAGGCAGGUCUCUGGGCAUUAACUGACGCUGAGGAGCGAAAGCAUGGGGAGCGAACAGG